UGUCGGCUGGGAUUAUAUGGAAUC
rnacentral:misc_RNA from 1 species